rnacentral:lncRNA from 1 species
UUUCCCCAGCAUUAUCAUCCUCACAGUUAAGCCGUCUAAUGUAAUCGUUGGGCUUAAAAUCUACUCUUCGAUAAGGGCAUUUGUAAUAAAAAUUUGACAGCACAGUGUCGUUAGAAAAUGGAAGGACAUCGUGGUUGAUCGUUGGGCUCUCAGGGUCUUGGGGACAAAGAUUGUUGAGAUAAUCCAUUCUUGCGAGUGUUAUGAUGUUAUCAUCAUAGUUCAUCUGGAGGAUUCUGAACUUAACCGAGGAGAUGGUAAGCUCUGCAAAACCGUUGCUGCAGUUGACCUUGAAAUCUGGGUGACCGCACUCUUCUCUGUCAGAUGUCCAAAAGGGAUAAGAGAGAUGUAUCUCAUUUCCGCAGGUAAACGGAAAAGCGCAGUGUAUGUGACGCUCAUCAACUGAGAAAACAGAAGAGGGGAUUACAAAGAGCAUCCAUAUGAUUAUAUAGGACAAAGAUUCUGUCAGAGACAGAGAAAGGUUGAUCAUGGUGCUUGCCUUAGAGAUGAACAAGAGGACGAAGAAGAAGAAGAAAAAGAGGUAAAAGACAGAUGGGGAAUAAGUAAAUGGUAUUUGUCUAAGUCAUGGUUUUGUAUGAGUUGAAAGAAUGAAAAGAAAAUUAAGGUUUCUCUUUAUAUAUUUGUUUAUCUGGAAAUUUAUUUCCAAACAGAAAUUUCUUUGGAAUUAGGUGGGUUAGGAUGACUUAGUCUUCGAGUAGACUGGUAGACAACCAGGAUAUUAAAUUAGUUUAGAAGAUUUUUUUUGCUUGGUUGUAAUAAAAUAUUAAUUUUUGUUAAUAUUAAUUUCUUUUGUUUUUGUGGGACGACUUAGGUGCACAAACUUUACUUGGAAAAGUCAGGCAAAGUAGAAAUGGGGCAAAAAAUAGACUUAUGAAUAAAAAUCAGCAAAAGGGCUUCAAAAGAAAGAAAGAAAGAAAGACUUGACCGUAAUUGGCCCUUCCUUUACUCUCCACUUUCUUUGUCAGUUUCAGACAAUUUCAAAGAAUGAAGAGUGGAACAAGAUAUAGACUCUUUAGUAUUUAUCAUGGAAAUUGAACAAGAAGAAGAGUCGAUGAAGGAGUUGUGAUAAAGAAAGGAGUCAGAUUCAUGGUAAGGAAGACUCUUAUACCAUGAAAAUGACUUGAUGGAAAUUUGUGUCCCAAGUUGCUGGAAUCAGAUAAAGACUUCUAGAGUUCUAGACCACUCAAGUUUCUAUCUUCUCUCUUAAGCUCACUAGGAAGUAAGGUAUGUCUUAACACAGGUAAAACCAACAUAAGGAAGAUUGCAAGGAAAGAUAUUUGUGACUUGGUUAGAGUCUUAGAGAGAUUGCAGAAAGUAUGAUCUGUGGUUUUUGGUGAUUAGCAUGUUAUAUAUGCAUGGUGAUUUACCAACUGUGAAAGUUAGGGAUUUAUGGUUGCGGUAUAUGUCAUAGUGGAACUUAAGAGGCUGCAAAUUGACUUAUGAGCAAGCCGUUAUUUUCUGUUUUAGUCAGGGGAAGAACUAAUAUGAUAUAUGUAUAAGAAACUUGCUGAUAGAUCAGAAACUUACCAUUAGAUUUAGAUGGAAUCAUUUGACUGCAGGCGAUUACUGAUCCUGAUGAAUUUGUCUUGCAGCAAAUCGGAGUGGAAACAUUGUAGCCACAGAUUCCACCACUAGAUUGACAUUCUUGACACGGUCUCUCAUCAUACUUCAGCUUCACCACGAAUCCUUCUCUAAGAACACUUCCCAAACGGGUCAUAUUCAAAGCUUCCUCCUCUGGAGC